rnacentral:tmRNA from 6 species
GGGGGCGAACAGCAUCGAUUCGGACCUGUGAGUCGUGGGGGGCAUGCCGAGGUGGUCAGGAGGCCUCGUGCCGCAAGGCACCCCCGAGGCGUGAUGUGCACCGCAAGGGGCACAUCAUCGGGGGGAAAAACCUGACAGCAACACAAAUGCCAACACGUUGGCAUUCAACACCGUUGGAGACCUGGAGAGAAUCUGGGCCGCUGACGGUGUAGAAGUCGCAACCGUCUAACACCGGGUGCGCCGUCUGCGGAGUCAGCCUGCGGGCUCAGUGGACGUCAUCAGCAGGCUGGUCCCGUCUUGGGCGACCGAGGGGCGGGGCGAGGAGCAUUCGGUCGCUGGCCCCGGCCGGCCGGCCAUGCGGACGGGUCGGGGCGAGAGCGGAAACGCACGGCUACGCAUGUAGAGGGCCCACGCUCUCGAUUCGAAGACGCGGGCUGCGAUGCCCGCCGCCUCCACCA